rfam:Mycobacterium sp. SCH PROKKA_contig000023, whole genome shotgun sequence.
GGCGGUCUUCGGUAGUGGCUGCCGGAUCACGAUCCGGCCGCUUCGAUCGACGGCCGUC